rnacentral:lncRNA from 1 species
GAUCUUCCAAGCUAACAAAGGUAUGCUACCUGUCUUUGCUCUGCUCAUUUUCCUCACUUUCCUAGACAAUUAGUUGGAUCUCUGUUUCCUCUCUUGUAGUUCUUAUGAAAUUAAAUGACUUCUGAAUUGUACACACUGCAAUCAAUGACAUAGACAUAUUAUAAAUUCAUCAACUCAAAGCAAUUGUUCUGAUGAGAAAA